rnacentral:rRNA from 1 species
UCGAACGAGAAAGGGGAGCAAUCCCUGAGUAAAGUGGCGCACGGGUGAGUAACACGUGACUAACCUACCCUCGAGUGUGGAAUAACAUCGGGAAACCGAUGCUAAUACCGCAUAACAUCGCAAGAUCAAAGGAGCAAUCCGCUUGAGGAGGGGGUCGCGGCUGAUUAGCUAGUUGGCGGGGUAACGGCCCACCAAGGCGAAGAUCGGUAGCCGGCCUGAGAGGGCGCACGGCCACACUGGAACUGAAACACGGUCCAGACUCCUACGGGAGGCAGCAGUGGGGAAUUUUGCGCAAUGGGGGAAACCCUGACGCAGCAACGCCGCGUGGAGGAUGAAGCCCCUUGGGGCGUAAACUCCUUUCGACCAAGACGAUAAUGACGGUACUGGUGGAAGAAGCACCGGCUAACUCUGUGCCAGCAGCCGCGGUAAUACAGAGGGUGCAAGCGUUGUUCGGAAUUAUUGGGCGUAAAGGGCGCGUAGGCGGCGCGACAAGUCACCUGUGAAAUCCCCGGGCUUAACUCGGGGCCUGCAGGCGAAACUGUCGUGCUGGAGUAUGGGAGAGGUGCGUGGAAUUCCCGGUGUAGCGGUGAAAUGUGUAGAUAUCGGGAGGAACACCUGUGGCGAAAGCGGCGCACUGGACCAUAACUGACGCUGAGGCGCGAAAGCUAGGGGAGCAAACAGGAUUAGAUACCCUGGUAGUCCUAGCCCUAAACGAUGAUUGCUUGGUUGGUGGUGGGUACCCAAUCCCACUGUGCCGCAGCUAACGCGAUAAGCAAUCGGCCUGGGGAGUACGGUC